CUCAGGCAAAACCAGUCUUAAUACAUGGUAGUAAGAAAACAGUCUUAGUUAAGUCUUAAACAGGAAGCAUCAAACACAUUAACACAGUAGCAUUAAAACCAUAAACACAAACCACCAUUACUGCAUUAAGUUUAUAUAUAUGUAUGUAUUUAUACGCUUUUAAAGAGGAAGCCAGCGCUGAUUCUGAUGGUGGCUCACCAGGUCAUCCAGCAUCCACAGUUCCACCGACUCAGUUGUCUCACGGCUGCUUACACUCAACUGAGCCUCCAUCUUCUCUGGCUCCAAUCCCAGAAACGUUUCUAGGCU
rnacentral:misc_RNA from 1 species